UUGGUGCCCUGCUCUUAAGCUAAGCUAGAGUUAGUUGAAGUUUAUACCUGAAUACAUCAAGUGAAGUGAAAAUACUCUCUGCGUGUCAAAGAAUUUACUGGGAGGAAAAAGGGAAAAGGAAAAGUUCACCUAGCUGCCAUCAACCAGAAGGAAGUUCGACCCCCCUACACAAACAAAAUGAUUUCCGAA